UCCGACCUCUCUUCUUUGUCCUCUCUCCCUUCUCUGUCCUCUCUGUCCUCUUCUGUCUCGAUCUCCGACCUCUCUUCUGUCUUCUGCCCACCACCACCGACGCCACUAACUACCGCCGCCACCAAGUCCACUUAUUUUCUGGUCAAAUUUGAGGUGUUAAUUCAUGCAACAAUUCAAGGAUUCAAGACUUUUUUUUUUGGAAUAUUGUUUUGAUGUUGUAAUUUUUUUUUUAUUGUUUUACAAUUUCAAUUUCUGAGUUGAAUUUCAUUAUAAUUCAUUGUAACUUUUUAAAUUUAUUUUUUUUUUUGUAUUGUACAAUAACAAUUUACUUGAAUAUAAUGUGAUUUACAAUUGUUUUGA